ACAACAGAGCUGCCAACUAGUUUUAUUGAACAGCUGAUGGUGUGUGCGCGUUUUACAAGUUUUCUUAUCAGUGACUUUAGGAUAUUUAUCCAAUUUGUGUGUUAUUAAAGUAUGUAUUACUUCCAAUUUGAUAAAUGUAACGAUGCUCCAUGCAUUCGUGCAGCGCUUGCAGAGAUAUCCGAAGCUCCAGGAGCCUUUCUUAUGUUUAAGUGCCAAAAUUUCGCCUAGCGGAGUGCUUUUCCUAUGGAUUCAACUUCGGGUUGAGGUUUCCGCUGCUGCUGCUGCUGGCAAGUUGCAGCUGCUGACGAACUUGCCUCAAUGCAAAUCGAUGACCACAGCAUGGGGCUGAUCUCUUCCAUCAACACGUCUUUCAUCGAGCACGGGCACUGAGUUGGGUUUAUUUUGCUCUCCGGCAACAGCAGCAGCAGCUUUCAUGUGCAGAUCGUUUGGAAUUUUAAUUAAAUUGGGCGGCAACUUCAUUUUCAUCAUCAUCAACUCAACGACUGCACUGCGCUCAGGCAGUUUCGAGAGCCGUGUCCAAGUGGCUUCUAUCAGAUCAAAUUAAUAUCAGGUGCCAGUUUAGCCCGAAGUGUUUCUUCAACCAACUGCAUUCGAAGUUUGGCUUUGGUAACUGCAUGAUUUCCUAAUUAAUAUACGACAUCAUUUAAUGACAACUAAAUGGUUAGAGCCGGUGUGUAACCUUCCCAAUACUCCGCUGCCAUCUCUGAACUUCAGAAGUCAAGGGCACAUCUCCUCCAGACCCUGUCCCAUGCCCAAAACUCGGCUUGAUUGAUGGCCGCCGCUUCUGUUGACAUCCCUACAUAUAUCAAAAUUGUCCAAAUACCUUGUUAAAUGGCAAAUUAGUGUGGCGGUGAUUGAUUUAGUUGCAUUCUUGCGCGGAAUGAAGUUGCAACCGGCAAACAAUCACGGCCAGACAAGAGAAAGAAAUAGUACACUUGAAAAUAUUUAUUGGAAUUGGGUCCUAAAAACAUAAAUAAUUUUAUCAAGAGAUGGGACAAGUCCAUUGAUAGUAAUCAUGAUUAUUUAAAAAUUAAAUGACUUCAAAAGAAUUGGAUGUUAUGGAGAAUUAUAUAUACUAGUUUUUACAUUUACGGAAAUCUUUUUCCAAGUGCACAACAACUUGUUCAUGAGCUUUGCCAAUGUCAGCAAGGUUCAGCUUGAGUGGCAUCUUUCUUCACCUCGCUGAAGCAUUCCGCAUGCAUCUUUGCAGCAAGUAAAACUCCAGUUCAUAACUCAUUUCUGGGCUUGAUCAUAACUUCGGUUAUGAGUUUGGCUGUCAGUUUCCAAUGUUGUCAACGAAUUCCGCGCAUUGACAGCUGACAAACUUAAUUUGCGGACUGCAAAUUAUUAAAUUAGUGGUACUUAUUAUGCUACCACUACCAGUUCCCCCCUGAGCUGAGUUCAUUAUAAGACCCGCACUGAUUAAUUCAUUGCAUGCUGAAUGCGAAUGCGAAUGGGAACCGUAUAGCAGUAUAGAGCUAUGUGGGGAAUGUGUGCCGUUCGGCUUUGUUGUAGAGCCGCCUUAUAAUUGUAUCCGCGUUACGACUUUAUUAGAGCCUAUGGCCCAGGCAAUCGGAGCAGGAGGAAUCCUCCGCUGAUUGACGUUUCGUUGGGUAAUUAAAAGGCAGAGACUUCGCUAGAAACUGUCAGGUUUUUGACGUCUGCCUACCGAUUUGGCCUGGUCGGUUUGGCAUGGCUUCAUUUACUUUUAGUCAGUGGCUGGCCAGCAACUAAUCAAGUUAACGCUGAACCUGCUCGGUCCAUAUCCAGAUACCGGGCACUCCAGGAAGCCUUGGAUAUCCAUAUGGAUGGGUGGGGAUGUGCGGAUCUGCGGACCUGCGGAAUUGCGGACUUCUGGCGGGGGCGAUUUCGUGGCUAACAUUUUGACACAACUUCUCGGCGUCUCUGGGCCUCUUAGUUCCUGCAUGCUAAUCAGGCCAAGCGCCAGUCCAACUCCCAGACCAAGUUCCAUUUCGAAUCUCAGUCAAAGUCUGGGCUUUUGAGUUGCAGUCUGUGUCCGAGUCUGGCAACUUGUUUGCGGUUGCUUGUUCCGUUUAGAGAUAAGCUCCAUUAGUGUCUGGGGAAAUAUUUAA